ACAGUUCGCGCCACACACCCAACUACCCCAACGUACGUCAAAUAGCUGGAAGUCACCCCAUCCCCAUCGCAGCGAUAGGGGCUUUGUCCGCCGCCUUGAGACCGCGGAGGGUUCUGCCUGACGGCGCAUGAUGUCGCCCCCCGCAGAGAAGAGAAGAGCGAUAUCCACACACGAAGAGUGGCACAGGAAGUAUCGAAAACACGGAAUGGUGAGUCCCAUGGAAAACGGAAUUUCUCCUGGGACGGCGGGCCGAAUCAGUGUUGUUGAUUGACAUUAGGGCGAGAUAUGGAAAUGAAGUGCCGCUAAUUACCGGCGUCAGCACGCGACUCAAGCAGAGGCGGCAGUUAAAACAAAAUUAAUUGUCGACGUUAUUCCACCUGAGACCUACAGGUGAAAAGCCUGCUAGGUGCCAUUCCAUAUGUGAUUAACUUAAUUAAAUUUCCAAUCGAUAAUGAAUGAAAAUUUGAUGUUGAGGGUAUGUUGUUUGUUGCAAGCUAUAACAAGUGU